CAUCACCAAUCCUCAGGUGAUCAUUAUUGUAGCUCUGCGGUCGGAGUGAUGGAACUUUCCAACACCUCCCAUACCAAAGUGGGAUGCUUAUUAAUGCGUUCCCUCAAAACACUCUGCGAUUGGCUAGAGGAGGAAGAAGAUUCUCCUAGAUAGAUGAAAACUCCAACGAUCCUUUGAAGCUAGACAAGACAACACCACCACGAUAUUGUAGAAAAUAAUCAGGAC
rnacentral:lncRNA from 1 species